UCUUCCUCCUCCUCUGCCAACCAGCUAUCUACCAAGAAUGCUGAUCGAAACCAACCAGCCACAGCUCCCUCUGCCACCAUGAAUACGGCUGUGGACAGUUUUUCUAGGGUGGAGAGGGACUGAGAUCUGGCUUGAGGCUAGCCAGGGAGCCCUGGGGACUGGAGAUCAAGAACUCUGAGCAAGAUGCACAAAUACUCAGGGGCCUGAAGGACUGCUUUUGGGCCUGAGGCUUGUGACAAGAAGACACCAAGUUGGUUCCUGGAGAUUCCCAGCCUUUGGGACUGGCAGUCUUUGCAGAGACCUCAUCCUGCUGGCUUCUCCUGGUCCCUCUCUUCGCACAGCUUCAGGGACAGAUGAGGCUUUAGGUUGGAGGGGAUGCAGGAGGGGAACCAGGGUGGAACGAACACCCUGGGAAAGUGCUUCCCAUUUAGACUGGGUGCCUUUAGACCAUUUCUUUCCCUUUUCAGCUCCUCAUUCCACUUUCAUUUUCAGUAAGAUGGCAGCAGUAGGCCAGAUGGGGGCUUUAUGAAGAGGGUUCCCAAGAAGGCCAUGCUGGCAAGCUGUCUCAGGGAGCAGCAGUUGGGGAGAACUCACUCUCUUCCCUAAGGCUCUGAAUCUUUCCACUUCCACACACAGACACUUGAUGAGCUUUGUCUGAUCAGGUAUUUCUCAAGUUUCCCUGAUGAACCCAUUUUCUCAAGCUGCUCGUUUCCAUCUGAUGGAAGGAGCCAACAUUGUUUGGAAGCAUUAUACUGAAUGCUCUUCUCCAAGAUUCCCUCCCACCCUAAGAGUCUAGAUGUCUUUUUCUCUGAAGAGGAGCAUGGGAAGAGGAGAGAAUCGUCAUCUUGAAGCACUUCCUUUGUGCCCAGCUCUGUGCCCUCCCUCUGACCCUCAUGGAUCCACGGCAGCGUCGGCUUGAUUCUCCUGCUGGCAGAUGAGCACACAUAAUAUACACCCUCAAACCUGCCUCCUAACGUGAAAGCGAAGACCUUGAAAUGAGGCUACUUAAUCGUACAGCUUCUUCCUGCUCCUAUCAUCCCCCAGCCAUUCCAUACUCCAGCUUGUCUUUCUGAUGAUUGAGGACAGACAACCUGAAGAAGGAGAUGCUGCCAAUGAUGACAGUGAUGAGGUGGAGGAGGAGAGGGGCUGAGAUGCUGCCGCAGAGACAGAUCACAGAGCUGCGGACAGGCCAUGUGCUACCUGCCAAGAUUGGGAUCCAGGGGAACACACUGGAGCUGGGAGAUUUUGAGAAAAGAUUUCCUGGAGGAAGUGAUGUCUGAGCUGAGCUGAAGAGACAACAUGCACGUUCACACCCAUGUUUCCUAACUCAGUGGCGCAUUCUAGUUCCUCAUCUCACAGAGGAAGGAGGCUCCGAUCCAGGAGGCUUGGAAGAACUCCACUUCCGGCUACAUCUCCUGAAGGUGAGAGCCUUCCAUGUCUCUGCUUUCGGGAGUCCGAACCCCAAGGUGGGGUUUGGACUCCAGCUCAGUGUGACUCCAGUCACAUUUACUUCUGCCUUCAGGAUCCUACACCCUCAGCUAAUCACCCCCCAACCCCCGCGUACCCCAGAGCAGCCCCGGCUCACGUUCACUCUGCCCUCACUACCGGCACUCGUGUCCCCUUAGCCACAGCUCACGUCCUGUUGCAUGUCAGCAUGCAACUGUAUAAACCUAAAGGCAGAUUUAGAAAACUGCCAAUCCUUGCAGAUAACCCUGUUCUAAGUAGACUUUGAUAAUUGCUCAGAUAAUGGUUCUGGAUUCCACACUGGGCAAAGGAGAGAAGGUUUUGGGGGAGAUUCUGGGAGGUGAGAGCAUUCCAGCUGGAUGUGGAAAGAUGGAGGGUUUUGUCUCAGCAAAAGUAUGAGUCUGGCUGGAAUGGAGAGCCUGGAGUCUAGCGGACUGGAGAGCGGAGGAUGGAGCUAGGGCUCUUAGCCACUGUCAGUCAGGGGCAGCUCUGUACCAGGUGUUGUGAUGGCCAUUUCCGGAGGCCCGCGACACCCUGGGGCUGGCUGGCUCUGGCUGCCCAGUGCAGCAGUUUGCCAUGUGCAAUGCAGCUGAGUGUAGUGCCCAGGAUGGAAAACCGGACCUGGCUGUAGGAAAACGAAUCUGCAGCUGUGUGCUGUGCCAGCCUGGGGGAGCUGGAGGAGCCAUGGUAGAACAGCGUGUAGGAUAGGGGACUGCUGCUAUGGUGCCAUUUCACAGAUGAGACAGUAGAGGCUUAGGGACAUAGGUGAUUGACCUCAAUCCAGGACAUCGAAUCAGGUCUGAAUGGCACAGUCACAGCUGGUCUCAGCACCCUGCCUCUUCUAGCUGGAGGCAGCAUUUAUUGGCUCCUCUCUCCCCACUCCCUCCCAGGCCCUUCCAGCCCACAGUGGGAGCCCAGGGAAGACAGAGGGAGCUGCCUUUCUGCUUCCCGCCUUCCAAGAACCCAGCACUUUGUUUGGAGCUGAUUACUCAGAGGCCCUUUGAUUUGCAAGAGAAGCUGGCGGCCAGCCUGUCCCUGGCCACCAGCAGAAUCAGAGGUUUGGCUCCAGGUGAAAAAUCUUCUUCCUCUCCCUCUCGAUUUUCCUCUCCCGCCUCCUCUUCUGGCUUGUUUUGAAGUUUAUUUUUAAUAAGGGAUUUGAAACUUCAGACACUGCAAAGCUCUAGGACCGUAGAGGAUGGAGGGCUUGUGCAGACUGGCUGGCAGCAGGAGGGCCGGAAACAGGCAUUAACAGGAUUGCUUAGUGUCUACUGAGUACCUACUAAGUGCUAGGUAGCAGUUUAUCUUCACCACUGCUCUGUGAGGAAGAGUGUUCAUUAUACAAGUGCAGAAACAAAGGCAGAGAGAGGUUUGAAAAUCUGCUCCAGGUUACACAGCUCUACAGGGAUGGAGCCUAUGAGAUUCCAGAAUUCAGGCUAUGGUCACUGCCUGGGCUGGGAUACCUGAUGUCCCUGGGACCCCUUCCAGGCCCUGUCCCACCCAAAGGUCACAAGCAAUGGACCUCUGCUUUCCCCGGCUCAUAUCUGUGUGAUGUGGAGAAGAAAAUUGCAGACUGGGAACCCCUGGGGUCCUCAUACUGGCUGACUCACAGGGCUCCCCAGGAGGCUUUCCUUGGAGGUGACCACACUUCUUUUUGUGGGACAAGAGGGGACCACAGGAGAUGGUGGAAGAACCCAUCUUUGAAUGACCUCUGACAGUGGUCUCUCACCAAGAUUAGUGGAAAAUCUGGUACUUCCUGUAGAAGUGGCCAGCCUGUUCCUGACCUGCACCUGCCUCUGUCCAGCUUCACCUGAGGCUCUCCUCUUACCCUGGGUGCCAGCCACAGUUGUCCCAGACUCCAUGAUCUUGCCCUCCACAGGGUCCUUGCAUAUGGUGUUUCCCUCUUCCAGGGACAUGUGUGCUUUUCCUUACUUCGCCUGGUUCUUCCUCAUCCUCAGAACCUCGGGGAGGCCUGUGGGUCUGUGACCUUCCCAUUAUUUGCAGCACUGAACUGACUCUCUGUGCCGUGGCGAUAGGCAUCAGGUCUAUUGUUUGCAUUUUCUUUACAUUCCAACUGCCUGUGUGCAGCUUGGGCCCAGCCUAGACCAUAGCUAUUACCUAUAACAUCAACCUCAUGAGGACAUUCAGAGGGUGAAAGAAGAGAAGGGCUAGGUGGACAGUAAGUGCUCAAUAAAUCCCAGCCACUAUUGAUAUUAAUUCUGGCCAAACACUGAUGGGCAUUUCCGGUGUACUCACAUAUCUUAGAAACUUGAAUCAAAAAAGAAAAAAGAAAAAAAAAACCUGAGGCUCUGAGAAGUGGCCGGAGAUUGUUGCUAGGUAACCUGGCCAUCUGGGUGCCUGGGACUUGCUGCUGCAGCCCACCCCCCAGUGCCUUCUGCUGAUCCUGGAUGCUCACAUGGCCUUUCCUUCCUUUAAUGUGUCCCAAGGGCCCAGGAGGAGCAGGCAGGAUAGAGACAUUUCCCCAAGAGAUGGAGGCCUGACCCUGUAGGCCCAGGCUUGACUGGCUAUUCAGGGCCCCAGCUCUCCAUCCAGGCCGCCCCCUGUCCCAUUUGCCCUUCAGUGGCUUCCUUCCCUAACUAAGGACAUUUGCAUGAGGAAAGCAUCUUCAGCGACUGCCUUCUCGCCACCUGCUCAUGCGGCUCUCUCCACACCUGAAGCCACAAAUACAUAUGCAAAGGUCAGUAUAUUAAUUUGUGUUUGAGCACAGAGCCGGGACACCGCCGAGAAAGGGGAUUAGGCAGGGGCAGUGGGUGGGAAGCGACAGAUGGCUUCAUUGCUUUUACCUGUUGCGAAUUUGUUAGGCAACAACUCUUCAUUUGUGUUCAACGGCAUCCAGACACCCAGGCAGCAGGACGCUGCCCCUCAGUGGUUAGCACCCCUGUGUGGUCGGGGAGAGGUUGGUCAGACUACUGCCUGCCAGGAAUUGAAUACCAGGAUUCCAGUGGAGGACUCUUUAUUGUUCUGACUGGUUCUUUCCCUAACAGGUCACCCACAACACUUUGGAGCACUUGAGCCACAAGGCAGGAUUGAGCCAGGAGGCUGCAGGAGCGUCUCUCCCAUGGGUUGCUGGGAACGUGAGCUGGAUUGUGGAUCUCAGAGCAUUUUGACAUGCAUAAUGCUCUGUAAUAGUGAGGCAUUAUUUGCUAGCAGACCUGUUAAGAUCUCGGAUUCUGGAGUCAGCCAGACCUGGGCUGAAUUCUGACUUUGUCACUCAGAACCAUUGGGGCUUUGGGUAAGAAACGUGUUUUCUGAGUCUAGGUUCCCCGCCUUCCACAGCGGGUGCUAAGCAUCCCUACCUAGGGAUGACAAGGAGAAGUGACUGGGAGGAGUGAUUGCAGUACAGCCUGGAGCCCACUGGCUCUGAGGUCCAGGUGUGUUCCCAGGGCUCAGAAGCAGGGUUAGGGUGCACUGCUGUGCUUUCCAGCCUUGACUCAGAACUACCUGCUCUGUGUUCCCUUAACAUGCAGGGGCCCUGGGUUUGACCCCCAGCACCACAUCCCCUCAAAAAAGAACCUCCUAUAAAGCCUGCUUUGAUCUGUGUUCCCCCUGGCUGAUUACUCUGUCCAGUAUGUCACCCUCAUGGUGGCAAUCUGCUGGAGGGGGGUCAUUUCUUCCCCAUCAGCUACAUGAGGGCUGCUAAGCUGGGACCAGUGUUCCUACCACAGGAAGGUGGCACACGAGCAAGUGCUCUGUCUUCUGGAGUUGAAAAGAGGGGUUGAGCCUCUGAAAUGGAGGGUGCUCAGUCUUCACACCUGGCACCAGGUGGUCCUGGUGGCUCCCGAAGCCUCGCUGUCCCACAGUCCUCUGGAUCUAGUACUAAGAAAGUUUCUGGUGCUCAGGUGAGCAAGAAGAUGUCUGCUGCUCAUAAGCAAGAGUCCAGCUACCACUCCUCUCUCCAUGCCUUGCCGACAGCUCAGUGACAGCUUGUGAGGACUCCCUUUAGAUUAGCCAUCUUCUGCUCUGGAUUACUUGCUUUUUUUGUGACCUUGGGCAAAUCAUUGAGCUUCCCUGAGCCUCAGUUUCCUCUUCUGUACAAUGAGGGGCUAUUGUGAGGAUGGCAUGCCACAGCAGAGGGAAACGCCCAGCUCCGUGUCAGGCAUGAAACCGGCCCCCAGUGCUGACGGAUUAAUUCCGCAUCAUUCCGGGAGGAAGGACAGUGCUUCCAGGUGAAAUUCUGCAGGAAAAAAGACCUGCAAGUUUGUCAAGAAAGCAUCCUUUAGAGAAACCGCUCAGGGGGUUAUUGAUGGCGAUGUCAUUUUAUCUCUCCUUAGCCUUUGCAUUUGUCUCAGAGAAAUGUGCAAUUAUUAGAGGAGAGAAAAGAUGGAAGGAAUGCAGAUCGGCAGAGUGUUCUCUGGGGCCAGGUGGGGAAGAGGAGGCUGUGGCGGUGGGGGUCCCCGGCUCUGUGGGAGGAGCAGGGAGGGGUGAUGCAGAUUCUGCUUUCCCUUCCCUCCUCUCCCUAUUCCCGUUACACCUUACCUUCUCUUCUCUGUUGGAUUCCACAUCUUAGUAGGACCCUCCUGAGCCAUAGCCCUGGUGUGUCUUUGUAGCUUGCCCACCCAUCUAACUGGGUUCAAGAGGUUGGUGCUGUCUUGUCUGUGCUGGGGGCAGAUGUGUGUAAACCACUCAGAAUGGCAGACCUUGGCUUCAUAGCCAGCCAGUUGGGGAAAAACCCUUGGCGAUGUUAUAGGACCUUGCCCAUGUUCCAGAUUUUGUCCUUGUGCCUUUAACAAGUCUCUUCUGCCCACAUGUGCUUGGCCUGGACCCUCACCUCUAUUGUCUAGGAAGCAGAGAAGGGAGGCGAGGAGGAUCCUAUUCUGGUCAGGCUCAGUGUUUUCUGGACUCCUCACAUAGCCCUGGAAGCCUCUGGUACUGUGUUAUGUUAAGGGUAAAAACACCAGGGUUACUGAAGUCAGCUGACUUGGCCAGUGUCAUGUGGCUGGUGGCCCUGGAAUUGGAACCCAAUGACCGGUGCCAGGUGGCUUCCGCAACAGGCUGUUUGUCUCUCCCAGCCUGCGAGUUUCUCUGCCACUGCUCCAGUGGCACCGAUAGUCAGGGCACCCAAAAUCAGCAACCAGGCUGUGCUGUGACACCCAGACUCCUGUAGAUUCUCCCGGAAGGUACACCGAGGACACCCAGGAAUAAGCAGCCUGGAUCACAGUGGGAAACAGACUAGACUAGUAAGAAAGGCGGUUGGAAUGGAGGACUGUGGGCUUGUCUCCCUGUGUGUGACAAGGAGAAGGCCGCGGAACCCAGCAGGGCACAGGCUUAACCUUGAUCCCAAACCUAACUCAUGUUUACCAAGAAAUAGCUGUUCUUAGAAACCUUGCAAUCCGUUAUUAGAAUGUGAUGUUGGAUCUUAGAGAAACCUCUGGAGGAAAAUCAUGCUGGGAAAACAGGAGAGAGCUUGCUGGUAACUUGGGGAGGCCAAAAAUGAUGAAGAUCCAUUAGAAAGGACAAAGGGAAGCGGUUUGAAAAGGAAAGAAGAUGUUGGGGUGAGAUAGGCCUCUCUUCUUUCAUCCUCUCAGCACAGAACUUUCCUAAGUGUGUGUGUGUGUGUGUGUGUGUGUGUGUGUGUGUGUGUGUGUAUUCUCAAAGGCAGCAUGGCAUCUGGGUGAGGGUGGAAUUCUUUUGGGACUAUGCAUGUUUUGUAGGAAUUAAUAUGUGUUUAAUUUAGGCACUCCCGGACUCUAUGCCAAAGUUUUCAUCAGCUUGUGAAGAAAUGAGAAAAACAUGAGUAACUUUUUCGUAAAGCUAAAUUUAUUCAUUUUCAACAGGAUUGUCCUUUUUUCCCCCCAGGACUAUAUCUUUCUUACUGCCAUCGUGUGAAAAUAUUCUUUCGCCUCUAAAAACAUGGUGAUCAUAAACUGAAGUUGAUUUCUUGAGUAUGUACACCUGGCUGUCUAUAAAGCUGACACUUCUGUGAAUCCUCCAUUUCUCCAUUUAAAAUUUUUGCUGAAUUACAAGACCCUCCAGUCGGAGGGAGACUGGGUUGUACUUUGUCAGUUAGCAUUUGUGUCAACUCCCUUCUCAAUCUGGGGACAAUUUUUUUUUCCUGCUUAGUACAGUCUUUGAGAUUCAAAUAACUCCACCAUGUGCUUAAAUCUAAUAGCCUUUCUUAUGUCUACAGGGUAACAUGUAGUCUAUGCCACAUACCCACAACGUGGGGAAGGAGACAUUUCUUUUACAAGAUCAUAUCUCUUUCUUUUCUUUUUUCAUUGACAGGAUCGGGGUUGAAGCAUUUCCAGUGUCAUAAAGACCCCAUCUAUGAUCUCUUAGGCUAACAUGGGGGUCUUGGUAAUUUAGGCUGCUGUAACAGAUUGUGGAUAGCUGAUGAACUAAAGGUUCAUUUCUCACAAUUUCUUCCAAUCACAGAUUGGAAGCCCUAGACUAGGAUGCCAGCAUGGUCAUACUCCUGGGAGGACUCUUCUCCUUGUUUGUAUCUUGCUGUGUCCUCACAUGGCAGAAAGAGCUAGCUAGCUCUCUGGCUUCUUCAUAAAAUGGCACUGAUCCUAUUCAUGAGGGCUCCACCCACAUGACUUAAUCACCUUUCUAAGACCCAAGUUUAAAUCCCAUCAUAGAGGGAUCUGGGUUUCAGCACAUACAGUUGGGGAGACACACAUAUUUAGCCCAAGCUAGGUGAAAAGAUGGAAGGGCAAAUGGGCGUAGCAACAGAUGCUGAACUCUCAUGCUAUCCUAAGACAGUUCAGAUGCAGCAUAAACUGAAAUACAGGUAAGACGUUGCCAGUUCCUAGGCCUUGGAUGAUGAAUGCUGAGAACCAAGUUCAAGGUUGGGGUGUAGCUGAGUGAUAGAGCACUUGCCAACCAUAUGCAGGGCCUUGAGUUCAGUCCCUGGCAUAGGGAAAUAAAAGCAAGUUUAAAGGGCAAGCUGAAGAGGACAUGUUAGAGGUAAAUAAUGCUAAGUACUGAAGUAAUACAGAAGAGAACACAGAGGUGAGAGUGAGGAGUUCCCAGACAAGAAGGCCACUAGUUAGGACUGAGUUCUGUGCAAUGCUUGGCAGAUGGUGCAAGAUUAGAAGCUUCCUGCAAAGAUGACACAGGUUCCUGGGAUAGCAGGUGCAGCCUCUGAGUUAGUAACUGCUGCAGCAGGUGGAAUGGGAGAUUGGGCAAAAUGGGUGAUCCUUGCAUUGCCAUAACACUAUUGGUUAUGUAAAAGAAAGGGGCCUGUUCCGUUCUUGUGCAGAGAAUUUUGCUGGGGAGCAAACUGUAGCCUCUCUUCUUGAGCCUUGUCCUCUCCCGCUCUAGAUGUGCCAGAUGAGAGAAGAGAAGUCCUAAUGUAUAGGAGAAAUUCUGGUCUCUGAUGGGAACACUCAAGUGCACAAAGAUUGUGAACGUCCCUGCUAGACCUUUGGGUGUCCUCGUCUUAAGUCAGCUCAGGCUGCCGUAACAAAAUAUCGUAUCAUAAACUGAGCGACUGUAUCCAGAGAAACUCAUGCUUCCCAGUUCCAGAGGCUGGGAAACCCAAGAUAAGUUGCUGGUUGAUUUUAGUACUGGUAAAGUUUUGCUUUCUGCCUUGUACAGGGUUCUUAUGGUAGAGUGGGCGGGAAUGGAGGGGGAGAGCGGGAGAGGGAGAGAGAGAGAGAGAGAGAGAGAGAGAGAGAGAGAGAGCGCUCUGGUAUUUCAUAUAGACAAGAGCCCCAUAUUAUUAAGCUCCAUCCUUAUGGACCUCAUUUACCCCUAAUUACCUCUUUAUGGCCCCUUCUUCAAAUACAACCAAUCGGAUUUUGAGAUUAGGGCUUCAACAUCGAUUCAAGGCACGGGACAUAGUUCAGUGCAUGGCGGUCCUCAGGACACACAGCAGGCAGGUCCUCUUGGUUCUGUAUGGGAUUGGCAAGCAGACAAGGUCAUUCCUAAAGAGGAAAUCCUGGUCCCCAAGUUGGGUGGAUAAGUGAGGCUGCUUUCAGACUCAGGCAGGAGCGGAGGAGCCUCAUUAGCGCUGCAGGCCUCAGCCACGUUCUCCAGCUCAGCUUCCUGAAAAACAUCUCACUGGGGUCAUAGAAGUGGCCUCAGAUGUUCAGCAAACCCUCCGUCAACCUCCAGGCUGCUUAGGUCUCCAGGCUUUACAGACCACAGCUAUGCUGCUGUUUCCUGAAUGCCCCCCUGAGCUCUGGCGCUGCCUCUCCCACACCUACCCAUUUCCUCAUCUCUGCUCCUGUCCUUCCGGGUGGGUGUGUCCCUCAGGGCCCCCAUCUCACUGAACGGCAGGUGCUCAGGCUAAAACCCAGAAGGUACUCAGGACUUUUUCCUUCACUCCCAGACCUCAGGCAUUCAGCUGGCAAGUGCUGUCAGCUGUGCAUGGAAAAUGGAUCCAGAAUCCAAGCACUUCCCUCCAUUGCUAUGACCCCACUCUGGUCUGAGCACCAUCAACAUCUUGCAUCACAGGUCCCCAAGGAGCCUCAUAAUGGGUCUUCUCACUCUUUCUGUGUCCCCAUAUCCCCCAUACUAGCUCUGUCUUCAGCAGUCACGGCUCUAAGUCCUUCCUUCAGCGACCUCCCUUUCACUUCCAGACACACACACACACACACACACACACACACACAAACACACACACGCACACACCCCUUACUAUCACUGGUAAGACCUGCCAAGAUCUGGCUCCCCUUACUUCUCUGACUUUAGGACUCUGUUCUUCAGUGCUCCUGCAUGGUCUUCUCUCCAUUCCUCGAGUCUGCCACGUCUCUACUUCAGGGCCUUUAUAACAUCUGCUCUCUUUUCCUGGGCCUUGCUCCUCCCAGAUUCUCCCACAGCAAGCCCCUCAUUUCCUCUCAGUCUUUGCUCAGGGAGUCUUUAUGGUCCUAUUACCUGCGAUUUCAACCCCUUAACGUUUUAUGGCCCCCUUCCCUAUUGUAUUGUUUUUCAGACUGGCUGGCAAUCACACCAUUUCAUGUUUGAUGUAUGUGUGGUCUUCUUUGUUAUCUGCCUCCCAGCAAGAAUAUAAGUGCCAUUAAGAAUUGUAUCUGUUGUGUUCACUGGUCCCUAGAAGAGUUCUGGCACAUUGUAGGUCCCUUGUAAAUAUAAAUAUCUGUUCAUUCAACGAAUACAUUAAGCAGGUGAAAUGUUGCUCAGCUCCACGAGAGAUUAUGGAACACAAAUUAAAACCUCCACAAGACACCCCUUCAUGCUAACUGGAGUGGUUGUUACCAGAAAGAUUACAAUAAGAAGUGUGGGCAAAGACGGGAAGAAGUAGGAAGCUCAUACAUGGCUGGUGGUGUUGCAAGUUCCUGGUGAUCAGGGUGGAGAUUCACCUCGACUGGCUUUGGGAUGUGCCCCCAGGGAUUGGUGCAGCACACUUCUGGGUGGUCAUGGAGGUAUAGCCUUGGGGACCUCCAUCAGGUCUCUGAUCCCAUCCUUUCUAGGAUUCUUCCCUUCCUCUGCUUCCUGGUCACCAUGAAUUAAGUAGCUUCUUUCUGCCGUGUCCCCUACACCAUGAUGUUUCUGACUUGGAGCCAGCUAACCAUGGACUAAAUCCCCUGAAACUGUGAGCUAAAGUGAAACUUUCCAUUAAGUGAGGGUGCCUCAGUGAUGAGAAAGCUGACCGAUACAAAGACAUUCCGCAGCUCGGCAGUUUCUGAAAAUGUUAAACAUAAAUUUACUAUUCAAUGCAGCAAUUCCACUUCUAGGUAGCUAUGUAAGAAAAAUGACACGUCUACAUAAAUGGACACAUG